rnacentral:rRNA from 1 species
GACGUAGGGGGCCAGCGUUGUUCGGAAUUACUGGGUGUAAAGGGUUCGUAGGCGGUGCGGCAAGUCGGGAGUGAAAUCUCUGGGCUUAACCCAGAGGCUGCUUCCGAAACUGCUGUGCUUGAGUGUGGGAGAGGCGCGUGGAAUUGCAGGUGUAGCGGUGAAAUGCGUAGAUAUCUGCAGGAACACCAGUGGCGAAAGCGGCGCGCUGGACCACUACUGACGCUGAGGAACGAAAGCUAGGGGAGCAAACAGG